rnacentral:rRNA from 1 species
GAUGAACGCUAGCGGCAGGCUUAAUACAUGCAAGUCGUGGGGCAGCAUGAGUGUAGCAAUACAUUUGAUGGCGACCGGCAAACGGGUGCGGAACACGUACACAACCUUCCUAUAAGUGGGGAAUAGCCCAGAGAAAUUUGGAUUAAUACCCCGUAACAUAAUGAUGUGGCAUCACAUUAUUAUUAUAGCUUCGGCGCUUAUUGAUGGGUGUGCGGCUGAUUAGAUAGUUGGCGGGGUAACGGCCCACCAAGUCUACGAUCAGUAGCUGAUGUGAGAGCAUGAUCAGCCACACGGGCACUGAGAAACGGGCCCGACUCCUACGGGAGGCAGCAGUAAGGAAUAUUGGUCAAUGGACGCAAGUCUGAACCAGCCAUGCCGCGUGAAGGAUUAAGGUCCUCUGGAUUGUAAACUUCUUUUAUCUGGGACGAAAAAAGGCGAUUCUUCGUCACUUGACGGUACCAGAUGAAUAAGCACCGGCUAACUCCGUGCCAGCCGCCGCUGUAAUAC